GUGUACAGUUUUGUUUAUAAUUAGUGAAGAGAUGAAAAUAAUGAAACUGUAUGGUGCAGAAAGUGUUUUUUUUUCAUUGCAGUUUCUGCUGCUGGGAAAGCGGUAGAUCACUAUGGCUUCUGUACCGUGGUGAGUAUCUAAAGUGUUGAAGCGCGUUAGAGCAUCAUUACUGGGCGCGAGUAUUUUGAUCACUCUCACUGUACUGUCAUUUUAGAUUAGUCACUCUUUUUCGCAUCGGUCACUAUUUUCGGUAUUUUCGGUUAUCAUUUCGGUGGCUGCAUUCCGUAUCGGUGACGUUCGACGUUUGAUAGUUCAUCAAAUAGUAGCGCUGUUAUUUGGUCAAUUUGGUCACCUGUCAGCUGCGCUACUGUUUUAGCAGCGCGUUUAGUAGCGACCGGUAAAGUGUCAAGUAAUGAUACUGCGCUGACAAACGGCUUAUACUCACCACCGAAAUGAAGCUUAUGAUAAAUAAAAUACUGCUGCUUACUGGUCCCUGAUUGAAGAUCGUUCAGUGGCUACCAUUGGCCAAUCUCACCAACGGGAUAUAAUAAGAACUGAUGCAGGUUUAUAUCUAUUCGGAACAAAGUUAGUACACUUUUUAAACCGAUGUUGGAUUUUUCUCCAGAUACAGGCAACCCACUUAACUUUGGAAGUAGUGCGCUGGAUUCGUCUAAAGAUAUGCUAAACAACCGGAGGAAAAUAAAAUGAUAUGUAAAACAAUUAAUUGUAUUGUAUUUUUAUUGUAAUAUUGGAGUAUAAUGUAUUCUAAAUCCUGUUGUAUUUCUAUUGUAAAACAAUAGAAACAGUAAUUGAAAACAUUUAAAACACAAUGUUUUCUAUUGUUUUGUCGCUCGAAAUCAUCCCAUUGAAGAACCGUAAAAUCAAUUGUUUUGCUCCGAAUUUUGUAUGGAAAAUUUUCGAUUUUUUUAUUGUAAA